CCUUUCAAAGUGUGAGAAAUUGAAAGACAUCCACCCAUCUUUUGGAAAUCUUAAGAAACUUGUGUCUUUCGAUUUUCAUGGAUGUAGUAACCUUGAAAAGUUUCCGAGCUUUAACCAGGAAAUGAAGAGCAUUACCGAUUUGGAUCUUACAGAUUGUAGCUCUUUGUUAGAAACGCCAAAUUUGCUAUGAUGCCAAAUUUGAAGUUUUUACGCCAUUCAAAGUGUGAGAAAUUGAAAGACAUCCACCCAUCUUUUGGAAAUCUUACGGAGCUUGUGUCCUUCGAUUUUCAUGGAUGUAGUAACCUUGAAAAACUUCCCAGCUUUAACCAGGAAAUGAAGAGCAUUACUGAUUUGGAUCUUACAUAUUGUAGCUCUUUGUUAGAAACGCCAAAUUUUGCUAUGAUGCCUAACUUGAAGUUUUUACGCCAUUCAAAGUGUGAGAAAUUAAAAGACAUCCACCCAUCUUUUGGAAAUCUUACAGAGCUUGUGCCCUUCGAUUUUCAUGGAUGUAGUAACCUUGAAAAGCUUCCUAGCUUUAACCAGGAAAUGAAGAGCAUUACUGAUUUGGAUCUUACAGAUUGUAGCUCUUUGUUAGAAACGCCAAAUUUUGCUAUGAUGCCUAACUUGAAGUGUUUACGCCUAUCAAAGUGUGACAAAUUGAAAGACAUCCACCCAUCUUUUGGAAAUCUUACGGAACUUGUGUCCUUCGAUUUUCAUGAAUGUAAUAACAUUGAAAAGUUUCCCAGCUUUAACCAGGAAAUGAAGAACAUUAUCUAUUUGGAUCUUACAGUUUGUAACUCUUUGUUAGAAACACCAAAUUUUGCUAUGAUGCCGAACUUGAAGUUGUUAGACCUUUCGAAGUGUGAGAAAUUGAAAGACAUCCACCCAUCUUUUGGAAAUCUUACAGAACUUGUGUCUUUCGAUUUUCAUGGAUGUAUUAACCUUGAAAAGCUUCCCAAUUUUAACCAGGAAAUGAAGAGCAUUACCGGUUUGGAUCUUACAGAUUGUAGCUCUUUGUCUGAAACACCAAAUUUUGCUAUGAUGCCCAAUUUGCAGUAUUUAAACCUUUCAAAGUGUGAGAAAUUGAAAGAGAUCCACCCAUCUUUUCGAAAUCUUAAGAAACUUGUGUCCUUCGAUUUUCAUGGAUGUAGUAACCUUGAAAAGCUUCCCAACUUUAACCAGGUCUAUUAUCUGCCUCAACCUUCCCAGCUUUUCUGAUGGACUCAAUCCUUGGGGAACUCCCAAUAACAAAAAGCUCCAUGAGAGUGACUUGACUCCUACUUAUGUUGAUGAUGAUCUCAUUGAGGUUGUUGGCUUUCGGGAUGCUUGGCAUGGCCUUGUUUGCUUGCUCCAAAAGGGCACGGCCACAUGGGAGAUGUCUUUCCCAAGAGAUCAAGAUGCAAUGAAGGACAGCCCAGGUGGUAAGAGUGCUCUACCUACAGCCAAGAGGUUGGAGGUUCGAUCCUCAAACCCCUCAAUUUGAGCCGGCCAACUAUGGGUAACCUAGUUCUUAACUGUUGCAUUUUUUGUGACAAAUGCUUAGCAGAAUGGUUGUGUUGCAUAAUAUAAUACCAGAAAUGAUGUGUAGAAGGUUAUUGGGUAGGUUGAUUGUCGGGUGGUCUCAUCCCAUUCGCAUAAUCUUGUUGUUACAUCAUGUUCAGAACACGCUUGCAUUAGUCGGUUUACUUAAAUGUGUAUGGGUCUUCUAUUUUUUUUUUUUUUU